UUGGCUGUAGUGUUGAUAUCUUCCAGCUGCUGCUUGUUCUGCGGCUGAGGGUAUCAUCGCGAAAGGAUGGUGUGCGAAAAAUGUGGAAAGAAACUUGGUACUGUUAUCACUCCAGAUACAUGGAAAGAUGGUGCAAGGAAUACCACAGAAAGUGGUGGAAGAAAGCUGAACGAAAAUAAGGCUUUGACCUCAAAAAAAGCAAGGUUUGAUCCGUAUGGAAAGAAUAAGUUCUCCACUUGCAGAAUUUGUAAAAGUUCUGUACACCAACCGGGUUCUCAUUAUUGCCAGGGCUGUGCCUACAAAAAGGGCAUCUGCGCUAUGUGUGGAAAAAAGGUUUUGGAUACCAAAAACUACAAGCAAACGUCUGUUUAGAUGUAUUGACGUUUCGGGUUUUCCGUAUGAUUUUACUUUUUGCUUUGAAUUUUCAAGGCAUAACUUAGAUGUUCAAGUUACAAGAUAACAUGUCUUAAGACAAAUAAACCAGGGAAGUAGACUGGUAUUCUUUCUUUUGGUGUCAAGAAGUUCAGCAGCAAUGUAACUAGUUUUCUGCCUUAAGCUUUUCUUUACAAACAUCUUAUUUAACUGGAGUAAGUAACAAAUCUAACAAAAAUAUUUUCCUAGUUCUGUAUGCACUUUUUAAUUUAUCAUUACUCAUAUAAUUUUUAUUCCUUUUCCCUCUACAUUAUAGAUAUUGCAAAAGUAAGAAGGAAGUUAUUGAUACAUGGCUUUGAAUUUGGCAUUCAGACUUGUGAUCCUUCCCUCAUUCCCUUUUGGUUGUGUAGUUUUAGGAUCAGCAGUUCCUUAAUUAAUCACAGCAUCAUAGGGCAUUCAAAUAUCUGAGCCCAUUAUUGUUAAAUAGUUCCUUAAAUAAAUUAGCCCAGACCCGAA